rnacentral:rRNA from 1 species
UACGAAGGGUGCAAGCGUUACUCGGAAUUACUGGGCGUAAAGCGUGCGUAGGUGGUUCGUUAAGUCCGAUGUGAAAGCCCUGGGCUCAACCUGGGAAUGGCAUUGGAUACUGGCGGGCUAGAGUGCGGUAGAGGGCAGUGGAAUUCCCGGUGUAGCAGUGAAAUGCGUAGAUAUCGGGAGGAACAUCUGUGGCGAAGGCGACUGCCUGGACCAGCACUGACACUGAGGCACGAAAGCGUGGGGAGCAAACAGG